rnacentral:rRNA from 1 species
UACGUAGGGGGCUAGCGUUGUCCGGAAUCAUUGGGCGUAAAGCGCGUGUAGGCGGUUCGGUAAGUCUGCUGUGAAAGUCGGGGGCUCAACCCUCGGAUGCCGGUGGAUACUGUCGGACUAGAGUACGGAAGAGGCGAGUGGAAUUCCUGGUGUAGCGGUGAAAUGCGCAGAUAUCAGGAGGAACACCGAUUGCGAAGGCAGCUCGCUGGGACGUUACUGACGCUGAGACGCGAAAGCGUGGGGAGCGAUCCGG